GCUGGCGGCGUGCUUAACACAUGCAAGUCGAACGGUAACAGCAGUGCUUGCACUGGCUGACGAGUGGCGAACGGGUGAGUAAAGUAUAGUUAAUUUGCCUCUUAGAAAGGGAUAGCCAUUGGAAACGAUGAUUAAUACCUUAUACUCCUUAUCAAGUAAAUUGAUAAGGGAAAUGCUUUAUUGUGCUAAGAGAUAAGACUAUAUGGUAUCAGGUAGUUGGUGGGGUAAUAGCCUACCAAGCCAAUGACGCCUAGCUGGUUUGAGAGGAUGAUCAGCCACACUGGAACUGAGACACGGUCCAGACUCCUACGGGAGGCAGCAGUGGGGAAUAUUGCACAAUGGAGGAAACUCUGAUGCAGCAACGCCGCGUGGAGGAAGACGCAUUUCGGUGUGUAAACUCCUUUUAUAUGUCAAGAAAAUGACGGUAGCAUAUGAAUAAGCACCGGCUAACUCCGUGCCAGCAGCCGCGGUAAUACGGAGGGUGCAAGCGUUACUCGGAAUCACUGGGCGUAAAGCGCGCGCAGGCGGCCUUUUAAGUUGGAUGUGAAAGCCUAUGGCUCAACCAUAGAACUGCAUCCAAAACUAUUAGGCUAGAGUCUGGGAGGGGAAGAUGGAAUUAGUUGUGUAGGGGUAAAAUCCGUAGAGAUAACUAGGAAUACCAAAAGCGAAGGCGAUCUUCUGGAACAGUACUGACGCUGAGGCGCGAAAGCGUGGGGAGCAAACAGGAUUAGAUACCCUGGUAGUCCACGCCCUAAACGAUGAAUGUUAGUCGUCGGAGGCCUAGUGUCUUCGGUGAUGCAGCUAACGCAUUAAACAUUCCGCCUGGGGAGUACGGUCGCAAGAUUAAAACUCAAAGGAAUAGACGGGGACCCGCACAAGUGGUGGAGCAUGUGGUUUAAUUCGAAGAUACGCGAAGAACCUUACCUAGCCUUGACAUUGAGAGAAUCCUGUAGAGAUACGGGAGUGCCUUCGGGAGCUCGAAAACAGGUGCUGCACGGCUGUCGUCAGCUCGUGUCGUGAGAUGUUGGGUUAAGUCCCGCAACGAGCGCAACCCUCGUCACUAGUUACUAACGGUUCGGCCGAGGACUCUAGUGAGACUGC
rnacentral:rRNA from 1 species